rnacentral:rRNA from 1 species
AUGGCGCUCUACCUGCUCUUCGAGUCGGCGUCGGGGUACGCGCUCUUCCACGCCCACGGCAUCGACGAGAUCGGGCAGAGCGUGGACGCCGUCCGCUCCACCGUGCUGGACCUCAAGCGCUUCAGCAAGGCCGUCAAGCUCGCCGGCUUCACCCCCUUCCUCUCCGCCGUCGACGCCCUCAACCAGUGCAACGCCAUCUCCGAAGGGAUCAUGACCGACGAGCUGAGGACCUUCCUGGAGCUCAACCUGCCCAAGGUCAAGGAGGGGAAGAAGGCCAAGUUCAGGGUCGGCGUCAUGGAGCCCAAGGUCGGGUCCCACAUCACCGAGGCCACCGGAAUCCCCUGCGAGUCCAACGACUAUGUCCAGGAACUGCUCCGUGCCGUGCGGCUGCACUUCGAUCAGUUCAUUGACCAACUCAAGCCAUCUGACCUGGAGAAGGCUCAGUUAGGUCUGGGGCAUAGCUAUAGCAGGGCAAAGGUCAAGUUCAAUGUGAAUCGUGUGGAUAACAUGGUGAUUCAAGCCAUCUUUCUGUUGGAUACACUUGAUAAGGAUGUCAAUUCCUUCUCCAUGAGAGUGAGGGAGUGGUAUGGAUGGCAUUUUCCUGAGCUGGUCAAAAUUGUGAAUGACAACUACCUUUAUGCUAAGCUUGCCAAGUUUGUAGUAAACAAAUCUGAUUUGUCUGAGAAAGACAUUCCAGCUUUAGCAGAUCUGAUUGGAGAUGAGGACAAGGCAAAAGAAAUUGUUGAAGCAGCAAAGGCAUCUAUGGGCCAGGACCUUUCACCAGUUGAUUUGAUCAAUGUCCAACAGUUUGCUCAAAGGGUCAUGAAUCUAUCUGAGUACCGUAAAAAUCUCUACGAAUAUCUGGUGACAAAGAUGAAUGAUAUUGCACCAAAUCUGACGUCAUUGAUUGGUGAAAUGGUUGGAGCUCGGUUAAUCUCUCAUGCUGGCAGUCUUUCAAAUCUUGCAAAAUGUCCUGCCUCCACUCUCCAGAUACUAGGUGCUGAGAAGGCGCUCUUCAGAGCUCUUAAAACGCGUGGAAACACACCGAAGUAUGGCCUCAUAUUCCACUCAUCUUUUAUUGGUCGUGCAUCGACCAAGAACAAGGGAAGAAUGGCUAGAUACCUGGCAAACAAAUGCUCAAUUGCUUCACGCAUUGACUGUUAUUCAGAUAUGAGUAGCUCGAUUUUCGGUGAGAAACUGCGUGAACAAGUGGAGGAGAGAUUAGACUUUUAUGACAAGGGUGUUGCACCACGCAAGAACCUUGAUGUAAUGAAAGCUGCAAUUGAGGAGGGUAUGACCAACGCAGUCUCAGAGGAGGACAAGGAGAAGGAGAACGGUGACACGACUGCCAAGAAAAGUAAGAAAAAGAAGUCCAAAUCUGAGGCUGAUGGUGACGCCAUGGAUCUUGAUAAGCCUGCCAACACGGCCGCAGCAGAGGAAGGGACAGAGAAGAAGAAAAAGAAAAAGAAGCACAAGCUAGAGGAGCCCCAGGAUCAAGAGAUGGCGGCAGCCAAUGUCGACGGCGAGCAAGACGGGACUCCCAAGAAAAAGAAAAAGAAGAACCGUGACGCUGCAGAGUCUGUCGAGCCUAAGACGGCCACAGAAGGGAAGAAGAAGAAAAAGAAGUCGAAAACCGAGGCCGAUGACUAG